rnacentral:lncRNA from 1 species
AGUGAGAAUCCCUUUGUCUCCCCUCAUGCCAGAGCGGUUCAGCCCCCACCACUGGGACCUACCCUCCCAACUGAGUCCCAACCACCUGAAGGAUCACUAACAACAACCCUUCAUCUUGAAAGGGCCGUGUUCCAUCAGAAUCAUCAGAAAUAUGCAUUUAGCAGCUACCAGCUGGUCCAAUGCAAUGUGAGCAUUCUGUCAAGGGAUCAUCACUCGCUCCAAGUUCUCACCUUCCUCCUACUCAAACACACACAGAUACCAAAAGGCCUGGAUCCUAAACAUUGGCUUCUCUGCUGUAUAACCUUGGGCUAGCAACCUAACCUUUCUGGGCCUCAUUUUCCUCAUCUGUAAAGCGGGAAUGAUACAGAUAUGUAUAACCAUGCUUUGCUGCACAAAGCACUUAAGACAGACAAGAUAACUCUGAAAAUAAAUGAAAUCUAAAAUAUUUAGCAUAGUACUCAGCACAAUGUAAGUCCU